AGUGAACGCUGGCGGUAGGCCUAACACAUGCAAGUCGAACGGCAGCACAGUAAGAGCUUGCUCUUACGGGUGGCGAGUGGCGGACGGGUGAGGAAUACAUCGGAAUCUACUUUUUCGUGGGGGAUAACGUAGGGAAACUUACGCUAAUACCGCAUACGACCUACGGGUGAAAGCAGGGGAUCUUCGGACCUUGCGCGAUUGAAUGAGCCGAUGUCGGAUUAGCUAGUUGGCGGGGUAAAGGCCCACCAAGGCGACGAUCCGUAGCUGGUCUGAGAGGAUGAUCAGCCACACUGGAACUGAGACACGGUCCAGACUCCUACGGGAGGCAGCAGUGGGGAAUAUUUGACAAUGGGCGCAAGCCUGAUCCAGCCAUACCGCGUGGGUGAAGAAGGCCUUCGGGUUGUAAAGCCCUUUUGUUGGGAAAGAAAAGCAGCAGGUUAAUACCCCGCUGUUCUGGCGGUACCCAAAGAAUAAGCACCGGGUAACUUCGUG
rnacentral:rRNA from 1 species